rnacentral:rRNA from 1 species
AUACGGAGGAUGCGAGCGUUAUCCGGAUUUAUUGGGUUUAAAGGGUGCGUAGGCUGUGCGUUAAGUCAGGGGUGAAAUGCCGUCGCUCAACGACGGAGCUGCCCUUGAUACUGGCGUGCUGGAGUACGGAUGCCGUUGGAGGAAUGAAUGGUGUAGCGGUGAAAUGCUUAGAUAUCACUCAGAACACCGAUUGCGAAGGCAUCUGACGAAUCCGUCACUGACGCUGAGGCACGAAAGCGUGGGGAUAGAACAGGAUUAGAUACCCUGGUAUUCCACGCCGUAAACGAUGAUGACUAACCGUCGGCGAUAGACAGCCGGUGGCCAAGCGAAAGCGAUAAGUCAUCCACCUGGGGAGUACGUCGGCAACGAUGAAACUCAAAUGAAUUGACGGGG